GACGAACGCUGGCGGCGUGCCUGACACAUGCAAGUCGGACGGUUCUUGUACCUUCAAGCUUGCUUGUUGGUGCAAGGAUAGUGGCGGACGGGUGAGUAACGCGUGAACAUCUACCCAUUGGAGGGGGACAACCCGUCGAAAGGCGGGCUAAUACCGCGUAAGCCGCGAGGUGAGAGGCUGCCUAUUGGUGGCCGCCGAUGGAUGGGUUCGCGUCCUAUCAGCUGGUUGGUGGGGUAACGGCCUACCAAGGCGAAGACGGGUAGCCGGUCUGAGAGGAUGGCCGGCCACACUGGAACUGAGACACGGUCCAGACUCCUACGGGAGGCAGCAGUGGGGAAUAUUGGGCAAUGGGGGAGACCCUGACCCAGCGACGCCGCGUGAGGGACGAAGGUUUUCGGGUUGUAAACUGCUUUUGUACGGAACGAAAAGGUCUUUUCUAAUAAAGAAGACUCAUGACGGUACCGUAAGAAUAAGCACCGGCUAACUACGUG
rnacentral:rRNA from 1 species